UCUCUCUUGAAAUUGACUUAUUUAAUUUUAAGUAAUGAGUGAGUGCUAUUUUGCAUUUGUUUUGUUUUGCGAGAAUUUAUGCUAUUACUAAAUGACUCGAUUGGAUGUACCUCUUAAUGCAUGCCUAUGCCUAGGUACUUUCAAAUACAUUUUUCUACAGCCUUUACUUAUUGAGGUACGUGACCAUUUGGCUUUAAAUGUUGUUUGAUCUUGGACUGUAAUUAACUUGAGUUUGAUUAUCCCGGUUUCAACUUAAGCUCAAGUAAUAGGUAUUAUUAGUUAACGCCUUUAUGUGUUACUUUAUCUCUUUCAAAUAUUGUUUGAUUUGAUUUUUGAGUAAUAAGUAGUGACUUUUUGUCUUUGUAUGUUUGGGGGCUAGGACUAUUGCUAUGACUUUGGUGUUUAAAUUAUCAGCUCAAGUUACUUAGUAUUCUUAGUUAAUGCCUUCUGUUGGUAAUUUGUCUUUUUUAAAUUAUACUGAUUUAAAUUUUAAUUAUGAGUAGUGACUAUUUUGCAUUUGUUUUGUUUUGCGAGGACUUAUGCUAUUGACUAAGGACUGCGAUUGGAAUGUACCCGUAAGUUGCGAUCCAUGCCUAGGUACUUUCAAAUAAUAUUUCCACAUUUUUAAAUAUUGAGGUAACUAACAUUUGCUUUAAUGUUUGUAUCUGUAUCUUGGACCGUAACUAACUUGAGUUUGAACUUCCCUGGGUUCCACUUUAACUCAAGUAAAUUAGGUAUUAUUAGUUAACGCUUUUGUGUUACUUUAUCUCUUUCAUAAUGUUGAUUUGAUUUUUGAGUAAUAAGUAGUGACUGUUUUGUAGUUUUAUAUUGUUUUUGCGUGAGGACGGGAAUAUAUUGACUUGGUGUUUAACAUGAUCAAGCUCAAGUUACUUAGGUAUUUAUUAGUUAAUGCCUUAUGUUUAAUUUGUCUGUUUGAAAUUAUACUGAUUUAAAUUUUAAGUAAUGAUAUGACUAUUUUGCAAUUUGUUUUGUUUUGUGAGGACUUCUGGUAUUGACCAAGGACUCGUUGGUGUACCUCGUUAAUUGCGAUGCCUAUGCCAAGUACUUUCAAUACAUAUUCGACACCUUUAAAUAUUGAGGUACCGUAACAUUUGCGUUAAAUGUUUUGUAUGUUUAAUCUUAGCCCGUAAAUUACUUGAGUUUGAAGUUCCUCGGGUUCACUUUAAAGCUCAAUGUAAAAUAGGUAUUGUUAGUUACCGCCUUUGUUGUACUUUAUCUUCUUCAAAUCAUGUUGAUUUGAAUUUUUUGCGUAGAAGUAGUGACUGUUUUGUAGUUCUAUUGUUUUGCGAGGACGAAUGCUAUUGAAUUUGUGUUUAACAGAUCAAGCUCAAGUUACUAGGUAUUAUAUUGAAUGCCUUUGUUGUAAUUUGUCUUUUUGAAAUUAUACUGAUUUAAAAUUUUUAAGUAAUGAGUAGUGGCUAUUUGCAUUGGUUUGUUUUGCGAGGACGUAUGCUAUUGACUAAAGGACUCGAUUGGUGUACCUCGUUAAUUGGCGAUGCCUAUGCCUAGGUUACUUUCAAAACAUUUUUGCACACUUUUAAAUAUUGAGGUACGUAACAUUUUGGGUCUUUUAAAUGUUGCAAUGAAUCUUGGACGUAAUUACUUGAUUUUGAACUUCCCCGGAUUCAACUUUAGCGCAAGCAAAUUUAGUAUUAUUAGUUAACGCUUUUGUGGUUACUUUUAUCUGUUUUAAAUAAGUUGAUUUAUAUUUUUGCGUAAUAAGUAGUUACUGUUUUGUUAUGGUAUUGUUUUGCGAGGACUAUGCUAUUGCUUUGGUGUUUAACAUGAUCAAGCACAAGUUCUUAGGUAUUUUAUUAAUGCCUUAUGUUGUAAUUGUCUUUUUGACAUUGUACUGAUUUAAAUUUAAGUAUGAGUAGUGACUAUUUUGCAUUUGUUUGUUUUGCGAGGACUUAUGCGAUUGACUAAAGGACUCGAUUGGAUGUACCUCGUUAAUUGCGAUGCCUAUGCCUAGGUACUUUCAAAUACAUAUUUCCACACUUUUAAAUAUUGAGGUACGUAACAUUUGCUUUAAAUGUUGUAUAUGUACUUGGACCGUAAUUAACUUGAGUUUGAUGUUUCCCGGUUCAACUUUAAGCUCUAGUAAAUUAGUUAUUAUUAGUUAACCCUUUUAUUGUUACUUUUAUCUCUUUCAAAUUUUUUUUAUUUGCCUUUUUGCGUGCCUCCGUCGUUCCUGUUUUGUCUUUUUUACUUGUUUUUUGGGCGCGUCUACUGCUCCUUAUCCUUUGUGUUUUUCCCCUUCUCCCUCUCCCUUUCCUUUCGUUCUUCUUCUUUCCCUGCCUAUUGUUGUAUUUGUCUUUUUUAAAUUAUACUGAUUUUAAAUUUUUAAGUAAUGAGUAGUUACUAUUUUGCAUUUGUUUUUUUUUGCUAUGCCUUAUGUCUAUUGACCCAGGACUCUGAUUGGAUGUACCUCGUUAAUUGCGAUGCCUAUGCCUAGGUACUUUCAAAUACAUAUUUUCACAACUUUAAUAUUGACGUUACGGAACAUUUGCCUUUAAAUGUUAUAUGUAUUUUGGACCGUAUUAACUUGAGUUUGGAAGUUUCCCCGGGUUCAACCUUUAAGCUCCAAGUACAUAGGUAUUUAUUAGUUUAACGCCUUCUGUGUUUACUUUAUCUUUUUUAAAUAAUGUUUCUUAUAUUUUUCCUUGAAUAAGUAGUUUACUUGUUUGUAUUUGUAUUGUUUUGGCGAGGACUAAUGCUAAUGACUUUGGUGUUUAAUAUGAUCAAGCUCAAGUUAAUUAGGUAUUAUUUGUUAAUGCCUCUUAUGUUGUAAUUUCUCUCUUUGAAAUUGUACUUAUUUAAGUUUUAAGUAAUGAGUAGUGGCUAUUUUGAAUUUGUUUUGUUUUGCGAGAAUUUAUGCUAUUGACUAAAGGACUCGAUUGGAUGUACCUCGUUAAUUGCGAUGCCUAUGCCUAGGUACUUUCAAAUACAUAUUUCCACACCUUUAAUUAUUGAGGUACGUAACAUUUGCUUUAAAUGUUGUAUAUGUAUCUUGGACCGUAAUUAACUUGAGUUUGAUGUAUCCCGGGUUCAACUUUAAGCUCAAGUAAAUUAGGUAUUCUUAGUUAACGCCUUAUGUU
rnacentral:lncRNA from 1 species